rnacentral:rRNA from 1 species
UUAAAUUGAAGAGUUUGAUCAUGGCUCAGAUUGAACGCUGGCGGCAGGCCUAACAAAUGCAAGUCGAACGGUAACAGGAAGAAGCUUGCUUCUUUGCUGACGAGUGG